rnacentral:ncRNA from 2 species
UAAAUAUGGAAAGGGAGCUGGCCCAAGCCGGCUGAGAGGAUGCGAAAUGGAGCGUCGACCUAUAACCUGAUUUGGAUAAUGCCAACGUAGGGAAUGUACUGGAAUUUUAAC